rnacentral:rRNA from 1 species
CGGACGGGUGAGUAAUGCAUAGGAAUCUGCCCAGUAGCGGGGGACAACCUGGGGAAACUCAGGCUAAUACCGCAUACGCCCUACGGGGGAAAGCGGGGGACCUUCGGGCCUCGCACUAUUGGAUGAGCCUAUGUCAGAUUAGCUUGUUGGUGGGGUAAAAGCCUACCAAGGCGACGAUCUGUAGCUGGUCUGAGAGGACGAUCAGCCACACUGGGACUGAGACACGGCCCAG